rnacentral:rRNA from 1 species
UACGUAGGGAGCAAGCGUUGUUCGGAUUUACUGGGCGUAAAGGGCGCGUAGGCGGCAAAUUAAGUCAGCUGUGAAAUCUCCGAGCUUAACUCGGAACUGUCAGCUGAUACUGAUCUGCUAGAGUGCGGAAGGGGCAAUCGGAAUUCUUGGUGUAGCGGUGAAAUGCGCAGAUAUCAGGAGGAACACCGAUUGCGAAGGCAGCUCGCUGGGACGUUACUGACGCUGAGACGCGAAAGCGUGGGGAGCAAACAGG